rnacentral:tRNA from 1 species
UUCCUGGAGGAUUAGUGGUUAGGCCUCGGUGAUCUCUGUUCCACGGCCCGGGUUCGAUUCCCGGCCAGGGAA